UAUAGCCUUGCGAAAUUUGCAAUUUUCAGUCAUUUUGCAUUACAAACGGGAAAUUGAUGCCCAACAUCAGAUUGGGCUGUCAAUUUCCCGUGCGUAAUACAAAAUGACUGAAAAACGGCAAACUUCGCAAGGCUAUAUUAUUAUCCGCAUUUUACAACAUUUCGCAGCGAAACUUUGGAAUAUUACUAAUUUUGUGGUGCUCUUUCAAGCUGUGAUGAAAUUUUUGUCUAGAUCAAAAUUUAGUCUAUAAUGCAAAUGGUCCAUUGAAGAUCCAAAAUGACAAGGUACGAACGCGACUCUUAUACUCUCAUGAAUAUUAC